UACGUAGGGGGCAAGCGUUGUCCGGAAUCAUUGGGCGUAAAGCGCGUGUAGGCGGCUCGGUAAGUCCGCUCUGAAAGCCCGGGGCUCAACCCCGGGAGGCGGGUGGAUACUGCUGAGCUCGAGUCCGGAAGAGGAGUGUGGAAUUCCUGGUGUAGCGGUGAAAUGCGCAGAUAUCAGGAGGAACACCGGUGGCGAAGGCGGAUUCUCUGGGCAUUACCUGACGCUGAGGAGCGAAAGCAUGGGGAGCGAACAGG
rnacentral:rRNA from 1 species